UACGUAGGGGGCUAGCGUUGUCCGGAAUCAUUGGGCGUAAAGCGCGCGUAGGCGGUCCGGUAAGUCCGCUGUGAAAGUCGGGGGCUCAACCCUCGGAUGCCGGUGGAUACUGUCGGGCUUGAGUGCGGAAGAGGCGAGUGGAAUUCCUGGUGUAGCGGUGAAAUGCGUAGAUAUCUGGAGGAACACCGGUGGCGAAGGCGGCAUCCUGGACCGGCAUUGACGCUGAGGCGCGAAAGCCAGGGGAGCAAACGGG
rnacentral:rRNA from 1 species